AAAAAUUUGAAGUAAAAUUUUUUAAUAAAAGUUUUUUUAGUGAAAUACUUCAGAUAUCAAAAUCAGUGAAAAAAAAUUUGUGUUUUUGUGAUUAAAAUUAAAAGUCAAUGGCAGAAAAAAUGCAAAAUGGAGCUGUGCUCCUUUUUGCAUUACAAAAAUGCGGGGGCGCAGCCACCACACCCCAACUAAUUGAGAAAAUAUGCGACCUCCUCAAUUGCACAAUAACUAGUGUGGCCCCAACCGUUAGAGCGAUGAUUAAAAGAUCUUUAGAACUUGGAUUCAUUCAGAGACGUGCUGGGCUUAUCACAAAAUGCAAUGUUGCUGAAAGAAUUCGAGCCAGAAGGAGGGAAAUAGAUAGAGAGCAAAGACAGCAGAGUAAGAUUGCUAAAAAAAGAGCGGCUAAGGUAAAGAGAAAAAAAAAUAGAAAAAACAAAUAUAGAGCUCCCAGUAAGCCAAAACGUAAGAAACGUGGAAAAGCCGCUAAUUUAAAGCAAAGUCAGAGUUUCUCAGUGGCGCCAAAAACUGCAAAGAAACGCAAGCCUCCAGGACCAAAAGGUAAGAAGCGCAAUAAACGUGGAUUACCUCCAAAAAAAGGUGCUAAUCUGAAGAGAAAACCAGCAAAGAAGCGCGAAGCUAAAAAGCGUAAAGCUAAGCGCGCUAAAAAAGGUAAAAAGUAAGAAAAAGAAAGCCAAAAGACAGUACCCACCCACCCAGCAGUUCAAAACUAUGACAUCUAAGAUAAGAGACCAUGAAAGGUGUUUUUACAGAGUAAAAGGGCAUGGGUGGACGUCGCUGUAAUGAAAAAUGAACUGCGCAAGGAUCUUGGGUCAAUAACUCGCUGAAGAUGAAACUGGUUGUAAUUUAUGAUAAUGUAAUACCAAUAGCAUUCUCACAAAACCCAAAAAACCUUCAAAACAGGGUCUAUCAGACCAAUACUUAUAGUGUUGAAUAGCAUCUUUCAAACAACACAAGAGGAAGAACUAACUUGAAAACUUUCGGUGACAAAACAGCGGCAUUGCGUUUCAAUAAGAUAUGCCUCCAAACACUAACAUUGGAAUUAGUGCAUAAGACGGACCCGUGUAUUCCUUUUCUAUGAAAUUCAAGAGACUUAAGGAUUUUACACACCAUCCUAAGAACAUGAUAGUAUUUUUAUAAUAUUUUAGAUGGCAAGGGAUGGUUGGCAUGAGGUCUACUUUAGAACCUGAGAGUUAGUGCGUAAUUAUUCGUCACUGUAUUGGUAUAUCACAUCAAUUGAUGAAAGCAUAUAGUUAAUGUUUUGUCCACAUAGUUUAAAUAUAUUUAAAGGAUGCCUGCACUUUGUGUCGCUCACUUCACUAUAUGGACCUUUUCCAACUGCGAAAUGUGUUAUUAUUUUAAUACACCUAAAACACAUGUAUUCGACUUAUCGUCACAUGGAUAUAGAUGCACGGAAGUCCCAAUCAAACUCAAUGGUGGGGGCACACAGUGUUGGUGCUAUAUAUAUGUUGUUGAUAAAAGAAAUCUUAUAAGGAAAUGACGUAAGAUCUCAUAUGCGGAAAAUGCCUUAAGAAUAAAUUAAUCUCAAAAAGUAUUCUUCCGGCUUUCAAAAUUUUUGGUUUGAGAAAAAUGUAAACACUAA